UUGCCUGUAUGCCCGAACAUUUUGUCGAAGACGUUAUGGAAUUACUUAUUUCGCUUCUAGGAUUCCACGAGCUUUGGACAGUGUAAAGCUGGUAAAAAAGUGUAAGUUAUUCAGUUUUUGUUUUGCCUCUUUGCUGCACCGUAUUUCUGUUGCUUUAUGCAGUUUUAUCCGUCUGUAUUUGGUAGAUGAUUUUAUGAAUUUCAUUAUUAUGUUCAUGGCAUGUCCAGAGUAUAUAAGAAAUCCGUAUUUAAGAGCAAAAAUGGUUGAAGUACUCAAUUGUUGGAUGCCUCGUAGGAGUGGUACAUUGUCUGUCACAAGUACACAUUUUGAGGGGGCACCAACUAUCUGUUCAGUAUCUUGCCAGAAAUCUUCAGAAACUUUAUGUUGAUAUCGAAUUCACAGGAUCCCACACUCAGGUGAUUUUUCCUUUAAAGUUGGCAUCUCGGUUCAUGAUAUUUGCCAACGAGUAAUUUACACUUUUCUGACUAUUGUGCAAUUCUAUGACAAACUUAACAUACGACAUAAUAUUGCCGAACUUCUAGAGUAUCUUUGGUAGGUUCCUCUACACCUGAAUGCUUGGAAACAGAUUGCUAAGGAAGAGGAAAAGGGUGUUUACUUAAAUUUUCUUGAUUUCCUGAUAAACGACAGUAUCUUUCUUCUUGAUGAAAGUCUGAAUAAAAUUCUUGAACUCAAGGAGCUGGAAGCUGAGAUGUCUAACACAACCGAAUGGGAACAAAGACCCGCACAAGAGAGGCAGGAGAGAACUAGACUUUUCCACUAAGCAUGUUUGUUUACACUUUAUAGUUUUCUGUUUGUUUCUUCCAAUGUAUGCGUUUGUACAAAAUAUUACAUUUCAAA